rnacentral:rRNA from 1 species
AUACGGAGGGUGCAAGCGUUACUCGGAAUCACAGGGCGUAAAGCGCGCGCAGGCGGCUUGAUAAGUUGGAUGUGAAAGCCUACGGCUCAACCGUAGAACUGCAUCCAAAACUGUCAAGCUAGAGUCUGGGAGGGGAAGAUGGAAUUAGUUGUGUAGGGGUAAAAUCCGUAGAGAUAACUAGGAAUACCAAAAGCGAAGGCGAUCUUCUGGAACAGUACUGACGCUGAGGCGCGAAAGCGUGGGGAGCAAACAGGAUUAGAAACCCCGGUAGUCC